GAUUACUCCUACGGGAGGCAGCAGCCGCGGUAAUAGACGGAAGUCUGACCGAGCAACGCCGCGUGAGUGAAGAAGGUUUUCGGAUCGUAAAGCUCUGUUGUAAGAGAAGAACGAGUGUGAGAGUGGAAAGUUCACACUGUGACGGUAUCUUACCAGAAAGGGACGGCUAACUACGUGCCAGCAGCCGCGGUAAU
rnacentral:rRNA from 1 species